UACGGAGGGUGCAAGCGUUAUCCGGAUCACUGGGUUUAAAGGGUGCGUAGGCGGACAGGUAAGUCAGUGGUGAAAUCUCUGGGCUUAACCCAGAACUGCCGUUGAUACUAUUUGUCUUGAAUAUCCUGGAGGUAGGCGGAAUAUGUCAUGUAGCGGUGAAAUGCUUAGAUAUACAUAGAACACCGAUAGCGAAGGCAGCUUACUACAGGAUGAUUGACGCUGAGGCACGAAAGCGUGGGGAGCAAACAGGAUUAGAUC
rnacentral:rRNA from 1 species